UCUUAAACACUCUGAUCCUCUCUCUCCUCUCCAUACCUAAUGACGGUUGUCGGAGGCAAGAAAGUGAAUCUCCGCCGCGAUCGACGCCAGCGAAGUGAACAAAUUUAGCGUCGUCGUUGACCGUUGUGAUGAGUUCGUGGUUGCGCGAGGAGCCAUCAGCCCAUCAAUGGUCGCGUUAAUGGUUACAUGGCCAGGGUGGUGGUUAAGGUGAGCGGGAGCAUCCACCGCAAGAUCUGUUCCUUCGGUGAUGCGGCGGCGCAUAAGCUUGACAGAUCUUUGAUGGCGGAGCUUCGAAAUGAGGUGGUGCUGUGAUGAAGGUGGCGCCGGUGAUCGCCUUGUCGCAACAGCCGUCGAAGAUGGGAAAAGAGAGAAAUGGAAUGGAGGACCUAGUGGCGGACCGAGUGGCGGUGGCUGAGGUGGAGAAAUAAUAAGCGGCGAAGGAGAUAGAGAGAGUCGCGGGGAUGCUGGUGGCUGUGGUUGCGCGUCGCCGUCGAAGAUGGGAGGAGAGCGGAAUGGAACGGCGUCUGGCCUGUGGUGGCUGAGGUGGAGAAAGAAUGAGCCGCCGCCUGAUGCUGAAGGUGCUCAGUCUUGCCAUGGCUGCGAGGCAAACGAAGGGAGUUGUUGAUGUUGGUGAUUUAAUUUUUUUUAGUUUCAGUUAAGAACUGUAAUCUUUUAGUAAUGCUUUUGUUGGAUUUAGUUACGAAAUAAAUGGUUUUAGUUGAUUUUUUCUGAAUUUAAGUCAAUUAUUGUUUAGUUAACAUUUAUUCUCUUUUAGUUAAGAACAAUUUUGUUUUAGUUA